GGGGGGGGGGAGCAGCUAAACACCCCCCAGCACCUCUUUAUCCCAUGAUUUUGGGGUGGGAGAAGUGUUUUCUCCCAUAAUUUUGGGGUGAAAGAGUGACUCUUCCAUGAUUUUGGGGUGGGAAAGGGCUUUUCCCAUGAUUUUGGGGUAGGAGAGGUCUGUUCUCCCAUGAUUUUGGGGUGGGAGAGGUUGUGUUCUCCCCUCAUUUUGGGGUAGGAAAGCUUUCUCCCAGCGUUUUGGGCUGGAAGAAAUGAUGUCUCC